rnacentral:misc_RNA from 1 species
UCUUGUGGCCCUCUGCGAUAUGCCCGUGGACAAGUACUCCGGCGACAAUUGGAUCAUCGAGGAGUACUUUGUGGACCACAAUGACGACUAUCUAGUGAGUCACCGAAUCACAGAUUGUCGACGAAUAUCUUUCGUUUUCUCGUGUUGCAUUGUCGGCCCUACUAUUCUAUAGAAACACAUUUACUAUAUUCCAAAUAGUAUGGCAAAAUAAUAUGUACAGUAAUUGUAAUCCCAACAAAUUCCCUGCGAUGUGUUAAACUAAAAUUGUUAGUUAUAAUCUGUAUAUGUGAUAUAUGUACACAUGUCGAUUCAAGUCAAAUGGUCGUCCAUAUAUUAUUCGAAUUUCUGCGAACACAAAUGUUAAAUCUUCUGGAAAUUUUGGCAUGAUUUAUUGGCAAUGCUACUGCUUUGACCGCCGCUAUAUACACCGAUCUUACACGGUGCCCACUCACUCUCUCUGUCUAUAUCCCCCCAAAUACACACAUGUUUAUCGGCUCCCGAGAGCGACGCCUUGGGGAUUCCUCUCCGCACUGUGCGCAUGUUCCUCUAAAGCGCCCAUGGCCCAUGGCGCACAGCUGAUGCUUCUUGCUCGGAGAUGCGCGCGCAGCUUCAUCCGGCGGAAAAGCAUCUACUUGCCAUUUGCUCCGUGGCCAUUGGAAAAUUAUAAAUACACGCGCCGCCGAAAGUCUGCGCUCUUCUCAUCUGCGGCCAGUUUUCGGCUGAGAAUUUUCAAAUUCGAGGAAACCGAAACAGAUUGAAAUCUACGUUUGUUGGCUGUGUGUCGCCGCCACUGCUGCCAUAUAAACCAUAUAAACUACAUAUUGUCGUCGCUCCGUCUUCGUCGUGUAACGUGCGCGAUUGUUUCCUAUAGAUGAGUGAAGAUGCCGGCAUGCCAGCAAAUACAGUGCCCUCAGCGGUAUCCUCCUCCGCAGCCGCAUCGCCAAGCCUAAGAACAAAAGAGGAAUCCCAGCCAGCUAUGCAGAAACCUACGCCGCCGCCGGCCAGUGGCCAGCAGUUCUUUCAGGUGGUCUCCCCGCAGUUCGCCUCUGUGCUAUCAUCCAGCAUCCCGGAGAGCAAGUGUGCGGUGCGUUCUCCGAUAUCCUCCCCACUAGCAAUCCGGAAGAGUCGUCCACCUCUGCUGCCGGCGAGUCCAAAGUCCACUCCUCCACUACCGAGGAAACAUCACCCUCUGGCUUACAACGCGGCAACGGGAACAAUCAGCAGUGCCUCUGGAGCAGCGUUGCCUUCCCGGUUAAUGACCACCAUUGCCUCCAGCCCGGCUUCUAGUAUAUCGCUGUCCUCCUGUAGUUCACCUUCAUCAUCUCCACCACCGCCAGUACCAUGUCGAGCUCCUAAGAAUCCCAGUAGACCUGUUGCUGCGCCUGCUGCCCCACCUCCAUCCACCUCGAACGAAAUCAGUUUGGACAAGUUGCUGCAACAGCAGCAGGAGCUAGAGGAGAAAUCCGCGGCAGCCACAAACAGCGCAAAAAUGGAUGCAAACUUCUACGAUGCCGAGAUUGAGAUGAUGAACAAGUAUCUUAAGAGCCUGCCUGACUACAGCGAACUGGACAGGAAGCUGCACCAGGAGUUCCAGGAGUGCGAGGAUCUCUAUGACAAGAUCAAGCGUCAGCAGCAGCCGCUGGCCAAGUCCAAUUCGCAGCAAUCGGUCACGAAGGCAGUAGGACCAGGAGUGCCUGCGAUCUCCUCCGGCUUAUCCAAGUCUUCUUCAAUUAACUUCGCCCAGAAUCCCAGCAGUCGUGCAGCUGCUCCGCGUUUGGCCUAUCCCUCGAUAUUUUCCCAGGCUGCAGGCGAACCCAAGCUGCAGCGCAGCAUUUCAAGUUCUAAUAUGCCAAUAAGUGCACCUACUCUAAUGCGUCCGCUGCCCACCAAAAAUGGCCUGCAAAGUGGCUCCAAUCUGUCCCUUAACAAACAGUUGAUGAACGAAUUCUGGAGCGAGAAUCUCACCAGUUCUCAAAAGCGGCAAACGCCUAAGCGAACCUUUUGGAACUACGAGAAGAUCUGCGGUGCCCAGUUGGGCGAUGCAGGACAACCUUUUAAGGUGGAUGCAAAGACUGCUAAGAAAUUGGCUAUAUUUGAUCCCACAGUUGCGGAGGCCGCUCAGAAGGAGCUGCAGCGACCUCAGCAGUCACAGGUGCCUCAAAGUCAGCCCCACAGACUGCAGAAGAAUGCCUCUUUGUCGCACCUGGAUCUCAAGGUGCGUCAGGCGGUGACCAAGGACGAUCUCUAUAAGCUGAUCUGCAACGAGCAAUCGCCGUUGGCAGGAUCGAAUUUUGUGAGUAGAGUCCCGGUGAAGCAGCAAUUUCCAGCACAGCAGCAACAGGUGCUUCCAAAGAGCAUGUCCAUGACGCAUGUGCCGGGUGGUGGUCAACCCAUGGGAGCUCCAUUGCUGCGAACUUCUAGUCGCACUCAUAUACCCUGCUACAUGAAGAAUCUACCCUCUUUGAGCAGGAGCACAUCAAACUCUGCAAUACUCAUGACCCAACCGCGAAAGGAACCUCCACCAAAGGAACCUCUGAAAGCUCCAGCACCACUUCCUGCCAUAGCUGCUGCUGCACCGACUGUGGGCAAACCUAGUGGCGUCCUAAAGAGUUCCAGCAGUUCCUGUGUCCCCUCACCGCGUUGUGCCGCUGCCUUCUUUCGCCGACCUCAAGAAUCUAACAAUCCUCAGCAGCAACAUCACCAGCCACUUCAGAAACCGCAGCAAGUGGCGCCCAUCGAGGAAUCCGGGCCUGGUGAUUCCGCAUCUCUGGAACGAAAAUCGGAGAAGAGCAAUAGCACGUUAAGCACAAGCAGCUUUACGGUGACCAACUGUUGCACCACCCACCUGCCGCAGCUCUCAAAGUUCACCUCAUCGUUCCAUAUUGCCCCCACCACAGCAACAACCACAGCCGCUACAGCAACACCGACCCCAACAGCAGCUGCAACAACAAGCGAUCAGCAGCAGCAAAGUGGCGGAGCAGCGGCGAUGGUGGCUGCCAACUUGGAGGUGCCAACAUCGUCAUUGUCUUCAGCGGCCACAAAGCGCCAGAAAGAUGUUGACAACAAGCUAGAAAAAUGCUUGAACGACAUGCUAAAGUUGAAGACCAGCAGCAACAGCAACAGCACUAGUAACAGCAAUAAUAAUGCAAUCAUGUCGCAGUCGCUGACGGGCGAGCACAAAGACCCGAAGACUGCACUCGAAGGCCCCACGAGCAGCAGCAGCAGCAAGUACGUAGGUGAAUCUCAGAUCCCCGUGCCAGUUCAGCUUUACGAUCCGCAGAAGCCGUUGCUGCAGCAACAGCAGCAGCAACAAAGGAUCUGCUAUCCCAUAGGCAAAUCUAACUCUACCUCUCAGCUGCCCAUGGGCGGCUAUCAGCGAUUGCUGCAACAGCAGCAGCAGCAGCAGCAACAACAUCACCAACAGCAACAUCAGGAACAGCAGCAGUAUCCGCAGCACAAGCGACCCUUCCUCAACUGGAAUAGCUUUGCAUGUUCCGCCAUGAACGGAGCGAGUGAUCCCUUCAUGCAGCAGCAACACGUGCCUGCCCACCAGCAACAGCAACAUCUGCCGCACAAGCUGCAGCAAUCAUACUCCUCGUCGCAUGUCCCCAAGCAGGCGCCCAAAUCGGGACUGGCCAUGUUUCUGCAGAAGAACACCAACAAGGAGAACAAGUUUGGCCAGCCGAUGCAGCAGCAGCCACCCGGCAUGAUGCCCCAGAUGUACGGAUACCAGGCGCCCCAGCAGCAAUCCAAGAUGAGCUAUCCCCGCACCGGUGCCCCACUGACGCACUCGGCCUCCUUCAGCUCCGCCCAAAGGCCGACGGCCCUGCAGUUCCACCAGCAACAUCAGCAGCAGCAGCAUCUGCAGCAACAGCAGCAACACCCCCAGCAGCAACAACAGCAGCAUUCCAGCUUUGGGCUGGGCAUGAUGAGUAGGAAUUACUAUAAUGUGCCCAAGCAGCCAGAGCGCAAGCCGCUGCAGACCUUCGAUCCGUAUGCCUAUCCCAAGCCGAAUCAGAUGCAGCCGGUCAAGUACCAGCAGCAGCAGCAACCGCAUCCGCAUACGCAGUUUCUGAAUGCUUCCGCUGCAGGAGGCGGUGGCGGUGCCGCUGGGCUUCAAUACGAUCCAAAUACAAAUACGCAAUUGUUUUACGCGUCGCCGGCGUCAUCGUCAUCGAACAAGCAACCGCAGCAACCGCAACAGCAACAGCAGCAGCAGCAGUCGCAGCUACAACAAAGCAAUUCUGUCAUAUUCAAUCACUCGGGCCAGCAACACCAACCACAUCAACAGCAGCAGAAUGAAAUGUCCAAGUCCGCAUUGGGGCUGCACUUCAUCGAGGUAGAUUCUAUUCCUCCAAUUUAUUUCUGUCUUGUUUUCGUGCUGCACAUGUGUUUGAACCAAAAAUGCCUACUAACAACACGCUACCGCUUCCAAAGAAAGUUUGCCCCAAAAUAGCCGGCUGACUCAUCGCUGGGCUCCAAAAGGCCGCCGCCGACGAUGUGUUUCCCCCCGUUUUCUGUACUUUCCCUCGCUUUGCUAAUUUCUGUUGGUUGGCCCCCAAGUCUGUACUUCCUGUACUCUUGGUGGCGUUUCAAGUGUGAAGCGUUCCCAAGAGCAGAGGCACUUAUUGCUUACCUCCAACCUUAGAAUCUCGGUCCCCUUGGCGUCUACACCGAUCUCUUGGCCUCUUGGCAGGCUCUUGCACUUGUCGACAUCGACAACAUUGCACAAUCGAGCAAAGACUGCGGGAAAAUUCAAUGUCAAUUUUCCUCAGCUCUAUUAAUAGUGGCUGACUGCUUAAUUUAUGUUUGUUUACUCGAUUUCAGCGCCUAAAAAAUCUUUGCAUAAUUGCUAACUGCCUACAUGAUUUUUAUGCGUUGAACUUUAACUAUUUUAUGGCCGAAUUGCGAUCCCGAUGUAAUUGUUUUAAUAAUUAAAAAACACUAAACAACACGGAGCGCGUUCAGCAGAAUCGAAUUUCUAAAAAUAUGUAAUACUCACGACCUGCUCUCGCGCUCUCCGACAGAAAUGACUGAUCGAUGCGACGACUGACUCGACUACAAGAUACCCCUUUCCAACCAAAACCUCAUGAUCCUCACCAACCUUUCCUUUUACAUUAAUCGAAAUUUUUUUUGCAUUUUUUGAACCCUUAUGCAACCAUAAAGUGCUGUUUCCAGAGCAUACUAGCAUACCCUAGUAUAUUUUCGUACCUGAUCUGCAGACUCCUUAGCCUUUAGUUUUUGGCUUCUUUCGGUCGCAGCAAACAAUAAUAGCAACGGGAAGAAGAGGCGCUCAGCAGCUCUCCCGCGGAUCUUACGGAUGGUGCUCCGUGCUCGGGGUUCUCGACAUCGCCGAUAUUUUCAAUCUUUAUAAUUAGUAUUUGUGGCGUGCGCUUUCGUUCAUGUUGCGCUGAUUUCGGUUUGUUUGUUUCGACCAAUGCGCAGGCAAUCGGCGGUCGGUGAAGGAAACGCGCUGUGAAAACUGCCUGGGAAAUCGGAAGCGAAGCUCGUAACCCGCAUUGGAUGGCUCUAAAUCUCUACGUACAUAUAUUGCCACUCCGAGAACGUACAAUACUUUUCUAUUUUAUUCGUCUACAACAAAAUCAUGCUCCCAACAAAU